GGCUGGUCCCAAGGUAGUGAGUAAUCUCAGUUGAUCAUUUGCAGUUACAGAUCAAACUCCUUGUUCUGCUCUUUCCCCCCUUUUCACUACUGCACUUGACUAGUCUUUA
rnacentral:Y_RNA from 1 species